ACUCUCGGCAACAGAUAUCUCGGCUCUCGCAUCGAUGAAGAACGUAGCAAAAUGCGAUACCUGGUGUGAAUUGCAGAAUCCCGCGAACCAUUGAGUUUUUGAACGCAAGUUGCGCCUCAGGCCUUCUGGCCGAGGGCACGUCUGCCUGUGUGUCAUGCCAAAAGACACUCCCAACCCACUCGAGGGGGAGGGACGUGGUGUUUGGUCCCCCGUGCCGCAGGGUGUGGUGGGCCAAAGUUGGGGCUGUUGGCGAAUUGUGUCGGGCACAACACGUGGUGGGCAACACUUAGUUAUUCUCGGUGCAGCGCCCCAGCACGCGGCCGGUGCAUCGGCCCUAAGGACCAAUGGAGCACCGCAGCGCAUAGCCACUCAGACCACGACCCUAGGUCAGUCGGGACUACCUACUGAGUUUAAGCAUAUAAAUAAGCAGAGGAGAAGAAACUUACAAGGAUUCCUCUAGUAACGGCGAGUGAAUCGGGACCAGCCCAGCUCGAGAAUCGGGUGGCUUCGGCACCCGAAUUGUAGUCUGGAGAGGCGUCCUUAGCGACGGACCGAGCCCAAGUUCCCUGGAAAGGGACGCCUGGGAGGGUGAGAGCCCCGUCCGGCCCGGACCCUGUCACACCACGAGGCACCAUGAACGAGUCGGGUUGUUUGGGAAUGCAGCCCAAAUCGGGUGGUAAACUCCAUCCAAGGCUAGAUAUAGGCGAGAGACCGAUAGCGAACAAGUACCACGAGGGAAAGAUGAAAAGGACUUUGAAAAGAGAGUCAAAGAGUGCUUGAAAUUGCUGGGAGGGAAGCGGAUGGGGGCUGGCGAUGUGCCCCGGUCGUAUGUGGAACGGCUCCUGCUGGUCCACCGAAUAGCUCGGGGCAUGGACUGUUGUCGGCCGCGCCGGCGGCCUAAGCCCGGGGGGCCUAGGCGCCUCCGGCAGCCGUCGUCAGCACGGCCGGUCUCCGUGCGCCGCAAGCCGCGCCCCUCGGGGCACUGUGCUGCAACGGCCUGCGAGCUCCCCAUCUGACCUGUCUUGAAACGCGGACCAAGGAGUCUGACAUGCAUGUGAGUCAACGGGUUCUGAAACCUGGGAUGCACAAGGAAGCUGACGAGUGGGAGGCCUUCACGGGCCACACCGCUGGCCGACCUUGAUCUUCUGUGAAGGGUUCGAGUUGGAGCACGCCUGUCGGGACCCGAAAGAUGGUGAACUAUGCCUGAGCGGGGUGAAGCCAGAGGAAACUCUGGUGGAGGCUCGAAGCGAUACUGACGUGCAAAUUGUUCGUCUGACUUGGGUAUAGGGGCGAAAGACUAAUCAAACCAUCUAGUACCUCGUUCCCUCUGAAGUUUCCCUCAGGAUAGCUGGAGCCCAUUAUGAGUUCUAUCAGGUAAAACCAAUGAUUAGAGGCAUCGAAGGCACAACGCCCUCAACCUAUUCUCAAACUUUAAAUAGGUAGGACGGCACGGCUGCUCCGGUGAGCCGUGCCAUGGAAUCAGGAGCUCCAAGUGGGCCAUUUUUGGUAAGCAGAACUGGUGAUGCGGGAUGAACCAGAAGCUGGGUUACGGUGCCGAACUGCGCGCUAGCUUGGAACCCACAAAGGGUGUUGGUCGAUUAAGACAGCAGGACGGUGGUCAUGGAAGUCGAAAUCCGCUAAGGAGUGUGUAACAACUCACCUGCCGAAUCAACUAGCCCCGAAAAUGGAUGGCGCUGAAGCGCGCGACCCACACCUGGCCAUCUGGGCGAGCGCCAUGCCCCAAUGAGUAGGAGGGCGCGGUGGCCGCCACAAAACCUGGGGCACGAGCCCAGGCGGAGCGGCCGUCGGUGCAGAUCUUGGUGGUAGUAGCAAAUAUUCAAAUGAGAACUUUGAAGGCCGAAGAGGAGAAAGGUUCCAUGUGAACGGCACUUGCACAUGGGUAAGCCGAUCCUAAGGGACGGGGUAACCCCGGCAGACAGCGCAAUCUUGCGCGUCCCCCGAAAGGGAAUCGGGUUAAGAUUUCCUGAGCUAGGACGUGGCGGUUGAUGGCGACGUUAGGAAGUCCAGAGACGCCGGUGGGGGCCUCGGGAAGACUUAUCUUUUCUGCUUAACGGCCUGCCAACCCUGGAAUCGGUUCAGCCGGAGGUAGGGUCCAGCGGUUGAAAGAGCACCGCACGUCGCGCGGUGUCCGGUGCACCCCCGGCGGCCCUUGAAAAUCCGGAGGACCGAGUACCGUCCACGCCUGGUCGUACUCAUAACCGCAUCAGGUCUCCAAGGUGAACAACCUCUGGCCAAUGGAACAAUGUAGGCAAGGGAAGUCGGCAAAACGGAUCCGUAACUUUGGGAAAAGGAUUGGCUCUGAGGGUUGGGCUCGGGGGUCCCGGCCCUGAACCCGUCGGCUGCCGGCGGACUGCUCGAGCUGCUCCCACGGUGAGAGCAGGCUGCCGCGUGCCGGCCGGGGGACGGACCGGGAACGGUCUCUUCGGGGGCCUUCCCCGGGCCACCGCAAGCUCCCACGGGAAUGCUCAUUCAGAAUAGUCACUGACAAGAGCCAUCUGUUCCUUUUUAGAUUGAUCGUCUUCAGUUGCCCAUCUUGAGCAGCAGCGCAUCGUCUUCUACAGUUGCCCGCUCUAGUGGGCUGAGUAUGGUUUGUUCCCUUUUUUCAACUUUACUGUUUUUUCUGCUGAGUAUGGACUGCCUCUAUAUCGAUUAUGUUAUUGAUAUAUAUAUAUAUAUAUAGGUCGUCAAACAUGUAUGGACCAAGCCAGAAGAAUUGGCUCUGUUUCGGGAAGCUUAAAUACUUAAGGUUCAAGUGUUUCCUACGAAAUCAUUGCUAUAUAAAGCUCUUUCAGACAGGUUGAAUGAACUUUUUCCAGAGGUGGCUGUUCAGUUCAAUGCUAAAAUUAUUAAGAACAAGAUUGACUCGUAUAAAGAUAGGCUGUCAACUGGUCAUCCGCUGGUAUUUGCCCCGCUCAUUAUUUCUUUGCCCCACUCCUGAAUUUAGAUUGCUGAUGAGAGGUUUUUUCUUGCAUCCCAGAAAACACGCGACAAAACACCUAUCGGUUGCAGUGCAACCUUGCACGAUAUUUUAUUUAGUGGGACUACUAGUGAAAGCACAUAUUCAGGCGCAGCUGAUACAGGUACAGAUGAUUCGGUGAAUGUGAACAACGGGACGAAGAAAAA
rnacentral:rRNA from 1 species